UCGAGGUGCUCGGGAUGCUCGGGAUGCUCGAGCGACCCCGGUGCGUGCGGAGGGUCCCCCGGCCCGUGCGACGCCAGGGCACCCCGCUGCCGUGCCGUGCAUCGCCCCACGGCUGAGCCCAGCACAGCGCUCGCUCCCUUGCUCUCCCUGUAAACACCCUGUUUUCCACCAGUAAACCAGCGCGAGCUGCCAAACCGGUCCUGCCGCUCGCCACGGGGAAGCGAUCCCGUAAAACCGCCUUGCCCCCCUGCCCGGCUGCACAGCUGCUGCUCCGAAGAGGGCAUUCGGCCGAGCAGCCGAGGAAGCAGCAUAUGUCCGCGUUGAGAUAAGGCGGCGGGAGAGAUUAGCCGGCGAGGCGGGAUUGGGUCGGGGCGCUCGACCCUUGGAGUUCAGACCGCGGCGGGCGGCAGCCUGGGCGCAGCCUCCCGGGGCCGCGCUCGCUUUUGCACGCUGGUAUUUUUAACCUGCUUGGGCGCAGCCAAGCCUUCCUCGGGAGGUCAGUAAACAUGACAGCAACCGCUCGGUUUUGAAAGCCUCUUUCCUGAAACACCGAACAGGAGUGUGCAAAACAGCCGACACUUCUGCAGCGGUUGCCUCACCUUCCUCCGAGCAUGCCCUGCGGUCGGCAGCAGCGUAACGUGUGACAGCUCCGUGAUAACAGGAGUGACUUCGCUUGUGUCGAACGUGCAGCGCAAAUGAACCAGCUUGUGCGGUGCAGGAGGUGCUGCAGGCCCAGCGCCAGCGCCCGCAGCGCAGCACGAGCCCCGCGCCGGCUCGGGGGAUGCUCUCUCGGGCGUCUGUGUUGUGGGGGGGCUGGAAGCGGCUCUGGGAAUAAAAUACAGCCUGUUUUAAUGGUGCUGCUGGGAUAUUUCCUUGCAGCGACUGUGCUACUUUAUGUCCAGCUGCGUGAGUAGCUGCGCUGCAGCUGUAACUAUUUUUUAUGGGUUUCGGCACGUGAAGUACAGCGCGCUAUGAGCAACGGUGGCUUUUUGCUUUUCCAGUUUAUGCUCUCUACUGCGUAUGCCAGAGGAAACUGUUUUUUCCUGAAUCAGUGGAGAUGUCUCCAAUCAUUUGUGUUCCCGCGUUGUUGCUAAUGAGCACGUCUGUUGGAGAGAGCGGAUAAGGGCUUUCCUUGCCGCCUGCAGAUGCAAGGAGCGUUGGUGGCAGGAGUUGACAUGUCCCAUCACAGCGCUCGGUGCCUUCCUCCCCGCAGAAGACCCGUGGGCCGAGACGACGGCCGGGCGGCUCCCCACAGCGCCCGGCGGUUUUGGGUCGUUUGCCGAGAAAUGGGUGUUUCUGCCCGAACCGACGUGCGCGGCGGCGGCGGUGCGAUAGAGGCGACGGCUGUUUUGCACCUCAGGUCUUCUCACCACCGCAGCUCUGAGCCCUGUUCACACCUCCGUCCUCGCCACCCGCUCCAUCACCAGCUCUGCAGCUCGCGUCGCGAUGCCGCCGAGGUCGUCAGGCGGCUGUGGGCUCCCGGGGCCCAAGCGAGCCCCCCCGGCCGAAGCGGGGCGGCUGCCCCAGCCGGGAUGGAGACCACCCUGCGCCGAGCGAAGCCGCCCCGCUUCGCUUCUCCUCCGGAAGGGCUCCUUGCCCGUGCGGCACCGCCUUGGCCACUGGAAACCGGCUUUUGAACCCAUUAAAAAAAGCAGAGCCCAAA